rnacentral:rRNA from 1 species
CCUACGGGAGGCAGCAGUGGGGAAUAUUGCACAAUGGGGGAAACCCUGAUGCAGCGACGCCGCGUGAGCGAUGAAGUAUUUCGGCAUGUAAAGCUCUAUUAGCAGGGAAGAAAAUGACGGUACCUGACCAAGCAGCCCCGUCUAACUACGGGCCAGCCGCCGUGGGUAUGUGGAGGGGGCCAGCGUGAUCCGGAUUUACUGGGGGUAAAGGGUGCUGAGACGGUUCUGCAAGUCAGCCGUGAAAGCCUGGGGCUCAACCCCGGGCCUGCGGUUGGAACUGGACGGCUCGAGUGUGGGAGAGGCAGGCGGAAUUCCUGGUGUAGCGGUGAAAUGCAUAGAUAUUGGGAAGAACACCAGUGGCGAAGGCGGCCUGCUGGACGGUGACUGACGUUGAGGCACGAAAGCGUGGGGAGCAAACAGGAUUAGAUACCCUAGUAGUC